GCCCACCUAGUUUACCAGCUGAAGUAGCCAAGCCCGUGAGGGGAUAAGGCACCGCCGCCGCCUUCCACCUCCGCCAUGGCCACGCCGCCGUCGUCCACCUCCGCCAUGGCCACGCCGCCGUCGUCCACCUCCGCCAUGGCCGGCCUAGCGCCACCGUCCACUUCCCCCAUGGUAACCCUAGUUCCCCCCUUCAUCUCCACCAUGGACGCCGCUGCCUUCUUCCUCAAUGUCCGCAAGAGGCCCAUCGACCAAGAACCAAAAUCAAGAUCCAAGUGGAGAACAGUCAAAGAAGAAGCUGUAGCAAUCUCCAAAAAUCCCAAGUGCUGCGAUCUACUAGUCCACUAGUUGAUAAGCCUACAAACCGUCGAGACUUUGAUUGCCUACAAAACUGGCUCAGAACAGCCGACCUAGAAAGAUGCAAAGGUGUGUCAUUAGAGCCGGAGGGAGAAGAUCAAGAUUUUAGUCAGCUGAGUUGAAGAAGCAAGUAAGCCUGAAGAAAUGGACAGAUUGACAUUUAUACAUCAGGAAGAUAUGAACAAGCAAUCUUGUUGUGAACCAGAAACAGGUAGAAGGUGAUAAGGUGGGCGUCGGAGUGAAAAGGAGCUCAGGCUGAAGGAUUGAUCUAAUUACUGGUUAUGUUGAGCAAACUGAAUUUUAGUCUAAUUUGUACCUGGAUGCUUGUAACUUGUGUUGUUCCAGAAAUAAACUGAACUUGUCUAUAAAAAUGUCUGAAUGUCAAUUUGCCGUGUUUUGUCUGAGGA